AGUGAACGCUGGCGGUAGGCCUAACACAUGCAAGUCGAACGGCAGCACAGGAGAGCUUGCUCUCUGGGUGGCGAGUGGCGGACGGGUGAGGAAUACAUCGGAAUCUACUUUUUCGUGGGGGAUAACGUAGGGAAACCUACGCUAAUACCGCAUACGACCUACGGGUGAAAGCAGGGGACCUUCGGGCCUUGCGCGAUUGAAUGAGCCGAUGUCGGAUUAGCUAGUUGGCGGGGUAAAGGCCCUCCAAGGCGACGAUCCGUAGCUGGUCUGAGAGGAUGAUCAGCCACACUGGAACUGAGACACGGUCCAGACUCCUACGGGAGGCAGCAGUGGGGAAUAUUGGACAAUGGGCGCAAGCCUGAUCCAGCCAUACCGCGUGGGUGAAGAAGGCCUUCGGGUUGUAAAGCCCUUUUGUUGGGAAAGAAAUCCAGCUGGCUAAUACCCGGUUGGGAUGACGGUACCCAAAGAAUAAGCACCAGCUAACUUCGUGCCAGCCGCCGCCGUAA
rnacentral:rRNA from 1 species